CUUUACCUGGGCCCAACCCAAAGGCUAGGUGGAAGCCAACGCCCCGCGCACAGUUACGUCCUCGCUUUCAUUUGCAAGAGUCUCCCUUGGUGGCCCUGUCGCCCUUGACGACAACAAGGAGUCUAGCUGGGAGGGCCAAGUGAGGAGCGCUGGGCUCCCACGGGAAAAACCUACUGAAGGUGGGACUCUUCCCGGUGUGGCGGCGAAGGGUUGGAGUCGCCGGUCAUGCCAACUGAUAUUACACCAGAUGGAGUAUGCAAUUGGCCAACUUUCUGAUCACAGAGUGUAUCUACCACAUAUUUUAAUAGUUUCAGGAAGAAAUGUUAGCAGCUGCCACAUCACCUUUCACUGUGCAAAAAUAAUGCCUGAGCAAAAAUAACGCUCAGUGUUACAACUCCAUUGGAAAAAAAGGACUUACAACUCACAACUUGCCCUUAACAAUUGUUGCAGCAUCUCCACGGUCACGUGAUCCAAAUUCAGGCAUUUCAAAACUGACUCUGAAUUAGUAAUACCUAGACAGCAAACACUUCAAGACACCCCGCUUUUAGAUUCCU